CGGAAUCAUUGGGCGUAAAGCGCGCGUAGGCGUCCCGGUAAGUCCGCUGUAAAAGUCCAGGGCUCAACCCUGGAAAGCCGGUGGAUACUGUCGGGCUAGAGUCCGGAAGAGGCGAGUGGAAUUCCUGGUGUAGCGGUGGAAUGCGCAGAUAUCAGGAGGAACACCGAUGGCGAAGGCAGCUCGGUGGGACGGUACUGACGCUGAGGCGCGAAAGCGUGGGGAGCGAACAGG
rnacentral:rRNA from 1 species